CAGAGACACCAGUGGGAAAUGUUGCUUUGAAGCCGGCUCGCCAGCUGGCUCUGGCACCAGGGAGGAGGAGGAGGAGGAGGAAGGAGCGCCGCUCUCGCGAUGCUCCCUGCAUGUGCGUACAUGCAGCGCUGAGCUCAGCCGCGGAUCCUGCGAGAGGCUGCAGCAACCGCAGAGCGAGUCACCAGCGGUGCCCUCCCGGCUGGAGCGCACGGCCGGCACAGCCCGGCCCGCGGUGACAGAACCGCCGGGGACAAGGAGCCACGGACCAGAGCUGGCACCAAAGGACCCGCCAAAGGACCGUGCCGCACAACCGCCAUCGGCCCAAGAUGUCGAAGCACAAAGGCAGGGGUUAAGUCCAGCCUGGGAUGCUGAGCCCCUACAGAUGGGCAGAGUGAAGGAUGAGGAGGAGAAGCAUUUCCCUGAUCCACCUGAACCCACAGAGAAUCUCCUGUACUGCUAUACUCCUGCUACUCUCAACAACUUUAUUUACCAACUGCAAGUAAAGCUCCAGAGGGAUUGUCAGCACUGAUUCAGAGGCCUGUGAGGUUAAUCCCAGACAGGACAGAAAUGUCAUCAAACCCAGCCAGCCCAUCGUGGUGUGACCCAAAAUAGCACAGUUAGCUUCCAAACGGGCUUCUCUACAGAAACAACAUAUCCUCUUGCAGUCUUGGCUCUCUACAUGCCUUGUGAUUCAAUUCUGACAGGAAGAAGUCCAAAGAAGCUGCAUGAGUUAGUGCAAACCCCAGAAGAGCAUCCUGCAAAAGGCAGUAGAGGUGACCCUGAAGGUGAUGGCACAAAUCAAGGCUUUGCCACAGAAAUACAGAAUCAUGAACCGUCCUGAGCUCCAGGGGACCCACGGGGACCAUCAAACCCAACUCCUGACCCUGCCCAGGCCAACUCCAGGAGCCCCACCAUGUGCCUGAGCACAUUGUCCCAACACUUCCUGAACUCUGUCAGGCUUGGUGCCGUGACCACAUCCCAGGGGAGCCUAUUCCCGUGUCCAACCACCCUCUGGGUGAAGAACUUUUUUCUAACACCCAAGCUAUCCCCCUCCCCGCUGCUGCCCAGACUCAGCUUCACGCCAUUCUCUCAAGUCCUCCCACUACUCACCGGAGAGCAGAGAUCAGUGCCUGCCCCUCUGCUUCCCCAGCCUUGCAGCACGCUUGGCCAGCUGGCCAGGCACGGCUGUGUGCUGGUGGUCCAGCACAGGA